rnacentral:rRNA from 1 species
AUGUGUAGAAUUAGUGCAUACACCGUGCAUGUGUCCGAACCGUCCCAUUGCAGGGCAUUAUGUGUAGAAUUAUCUUCACUCCAACAUAUUCUCCUGCAAAAAAAUAUCGCGGUUAAUGUGUUCUCAUGUACUUAUUUGCAUUGUGUAUUUUGUAAGCACAAGGAAACACGACACGCAACCACAAAAUGUAACACUGUAAUGUGCUCGCUCCAAAACAAACACACAGAAGCAAAACAAACUGUUCUGGUGCAUAGAAGAAUAAGGUACAACUUGCAUAGAAGAACAAGGCCCACACACAGAAAAUAA